rnacentral:lncRNA from 1 species
GCGUCCAGCCCAGUCGGACAGCCCCGCCAAGUGUCAGGGCCCCGGCGGCUGCGCGAGGCUAGAGUCAAAUCACAGCCAGGCGCUGCUAGGCAACGGCGGGCUGGCGGCCUGGGGGCGGGGCCUGGGCGGGGCUGGGGCGGGGCCUGGGCGGGGCCUGGGCGGGCGCGGGCUCCAACCGUUGGGCUCGGGGCUCCCAGGGGAGGGGAGGGGCUGCCCGCAACCGCGAGGCCUGCCGCCUGGCCCUCACCCAUGGCCACCUCCUGACACGCGUGCCCCGCUCCGCCCCCUCCACCCCCACCGCCAGCCCCGUGGGCCUCCGCUCAUCCCCAGGGCUUCCCACCACGGCGGUGGGCCCCCUCUCCCUCUGCUUCAGUGCCGCCCCCGGGGCCAGGCGGCCCUCCUGCCCCCUGGGGCCGCCCGCCAGGAACGCCGCGCUGAAGGCCGCCAUCCCCACACCACCGCCACCUGUGCGCGUGGCAGCGCGUGUGGGCAGAAAGGACCCCAGGGUCUGACUGCCGCCAAGCGCCUCCCACGCUCCCUCCUGUCCUGCGGCCGGGAUCUUCCCAGCCGGCUUGGAGAACACUCGGAGGGCCAAGGACGGGACGGCGACGAGAUUUGGGGAGUCUUUCGAGGAGCCGGUGAGAGACGAGGCGAUGACUGGAUGGCUGACGAGGAGUCGAGGUCUUUUGGCAGCAGCUUAGCCGUGAAAGGUAGAGAGAGAAGGCGGAUGGUGGAGGAGCGGAAAGGAGAGGUGUGGA